AGAAGAUAUUAGGAGCUGAAAAGGAGGGAAGGUGGACUUCUUUGAUUUUUCCAGACAUCAUUGCUGAAAGGACAUCACUACAGACCGUCUGAAGGGUCCGGACUGUAAGUAUAACCAUAAGCGUUUUUAUUUAGGGUAGUAGACAUCUGCAGCAGGAAAGACAUGGUGUAUGUCUAUCUACCUUUCUGUCUUAGUAGGGAGUGACGACGGAACUAGGAAUCUCUGUCUUAAUUUGAUUUCCAUUUAUUAUCAAGGGAAAUACAUUCAGAGAAAGAUGCAGACACCUUCCAUCUACAGGUUCAAAUAUUGCAUGCGUUUUUAUGGCCUUUUAUGAUCAAAUACAUGGAAAGAAAGAGAAACGUCACGAACGGCAUGGGAAGAGCACCUGGAGAGAACCAGUUUUAGGACUGAUGUACUAAGUUAGAUGAAUUCAAAAGCAAAUAUGUAGAAGGUAAAUAGAGAAAUCUAAUAUCCCAUCUGCUUGCAUAAAGGGCGUGCUAUGACACUGAUCAGUUUUAUUUGUAGUUUGUAAGGAUAUGCUUUGAAUCAUUUUUGUUAGAAGUCCAAAUCUCUAUUAUCAGGCAUUUAUGCACCAAGUCUGUGGUUCUAUUUGCCUGUGUUGUUAUUUCACUAUUUUUUCUUUGCUGAUAAAUGGUCAAAUUAUCAUAGCUGAAUAAUUUUGUUAUACAAAUUAAUAAAUGUUCAGUGCUAAAUAUUUUUAUUAUAGUUGAUAAUAUUUGGUAUUUUAAUAUGCACACAAAUUUGUUAAUUUAAGGCCAGUCCUAUUUUAAGCUGUACAAUUAUUUUGAAUAAUUGUGUAUUUAAGAAGAUUUGACUUUUUCAUAGCUUUCUCAAAAUUGGUAAUUUUUUUCUCCUCAUUAAGGGCUUGAGAAAGGCUCAUUUUGUUAGCUUAGUCUUAAGUAUAGUAAAACCAUUAGGUGCAAAGUAUUACUUACUUACUUACAUUUGUUAUUAGAAACUCAAUGAUACAUAAAGGAAUAAGCAUUCAGAAUAAUGUCAAAGCAAAGAUAAAAUUUCAGGUGUAACUUUCUUGUAAAGAGAGUACAGGGACUGUUUAUAGAGUGGUUUGUUACUUAAGGCGUCUUUAUAUAUUUUGUCAUCCAGUUCUUAAAUCCUUCUUUCUCAGCUAACAAAAAUAGGUGAUCUCUUUUGUCUGGAUACAUACCUGGUGUGUGAUAAUAUAAUAGUAAGUCUCCAAAUAUUGGCUUGACAGAAAAUGAACUUAUUGAUGCAACUGUUGAUACUGCUAUGUACACAUGCCUCACUACCCAGUGUGAAAAUACCACUCUCAAGCUAGAGCUGAGUUCUUAUAUUUAUUUUCAUCAUGAUCUUUGCUUAUUUGGUCUUUAGUUACAUUUGUUAAUUCAUGUAACAUGUAACUACACGUUGCUGCUGCUUAAUUGGUCUGUAAGAUCGUGGUAGAUAUGAAUGGUGUUUAUCCACCACCGAGUCCACUGCCAUUGUCAGAGCAUCAUCCCUGGAUGGGAAUAAGAGUGCACAUUAUGAAUUAUCGGACCACAAAACCAGGAGUUUGGCUUUGCGACCGGUGGAUGAUGGAUGCGAUUUAUACUUGAUUGAGGUGGGAGUUGGGCUGGAGAGAGUGUCUUUUCUGUGGCUAUGGUCAGUGGGAAGGCUAUGCACCAUGAUACUUAUGAUCUGGGGCAAACCCAGAAAGAUGUAAAGGAGAAUUUGCUGUAUCCCAGAACAAGGGACAAACCCAAUUUCCCCCAGUUCUGGGCCUUUGAAAAUAUUUCCUGACCUCCUGCGCUUCAUUAGCAGACUCCAACUCCUCCCUCAGUUUUCAGCUGUAGUUUUCUCCACGAAACUCUGGCCUAAGGCUGAAUGAAGUGUCUCUCUUCUGUGUUAACCACAGCACCAAAUACGCUCCUUCUUGCCACACAUUAUAAAAUUGUGCUGUGCUGGCCUAUUUUCAUUAUUGUUGUUUCUGUUUUUUUUUUUUUUUUCUCCUAUGUGUGUGUUCUCUACUGAUGCAAACUCCAUGAAGAUGGGGCUUAUAGGUUUUUGUUACCAUUUUACCAUAAGUCAAUAACGGGUAAUCAGUUUUUGUUAACUCCAUAAAUGAAAGGGGAAUAAUGAGAAAGUAGAAGACUCUGAAGGUAAUUGUCAUCUACUGAGUAUCUGUGAAGUGAGUCGGCCUUCACAGAUGUUAAUAUUUAAUCCUGGUAACAGUCUAAAUAGGGCCACUGAGGUUCAAAGGACUUCACUUGGUGAAGUGACACUGCUUUGAUUUGUUUGAGCCAGAAUCUCGGAAUGGAAAGCCUUUUUCUUCCCACCUGGAAACACUGCCUCUCUCACAACUUUAUCUACGUAAAUGGUUACAGGGUGAAAAACAUCUGUAUUCUCUCUAAUAAACUUCUAAGAUAGGCAUUGUCGCCUGAUUUAUAGCCAGUGAAAGGCAUUGUUUUUUUUAAAAUGAGAUACCCUAGAUACAAGUGCUUUGCUUUGCUCCAAUCUCACAGCUGCCUCCCUCUAGAGGACUCGCGCCUCCCCACAGUGAGACGGAAAAAGGUUUAAAGAUUUCUAAGAGUCUUUCAUGACAGAAACGACUCCAGAGAGAUACACCUCAGAAGGGCUGGGAUAAUUUCUACAUUUUCUUUGUCAUUUUUCCUUCAAGAAAGCUGUUAACAAACUUGGGAAUAAUUGCUAUUAAUACUAUCAAGUUCUCCCCCCCCCCCUUUGGUGUCUGAUUUAUUGAUGGUUUCGUAUCGCUGCGAACUCAUUCAGCAGACUGUCCACGCAGUCCACUGCAGGAUGAUCUUGGAUUUGAGGCAGGUCCUUCUGCUCUGCCACUGGCCCUCUCGGAAGCAGCUUGUCUACCAGUAACCUGGCUUUCCCGCAGUCCUUGGACUGCAGCUUCUGGCAGGAGGAUCUAAAGGGCUUUCCCCAGAGGUCGUUGACUUAGGCCACUGUUGGCCUGACUUUCCUUUGCUCUUUACCCUCCCUGCGGUCCACUUCUGUUGAGAGGAGAGCGAUCCGGGUUGCGAUGUGGAUGAGGAAUGUCUGUUUCUGACAGCAACAAGCACAUUUGGUGUGCAAAGGAACAUAAAUGCAUUUUCUGGGUGUUGUCAGCCUGCUUGGCAGCUGCUUUAACACAUAGAGGUCACAAAAAGGAAAGAAUAUGUCUUCCUAACUUCAGACAUGUGUUCCAAGCAGAUUUCAGUUCCCUGAGACCACAAUGAACCAAACUUUCAUUGUAAUUUCUUAACAUAAUGUUACACUUAAAUGACUUAAAGGCCAAUUGCAAAUUUGAGAAGAAAUUGCUCUAAAUCAAAUACAAUGCUUCCUAAUAUACAUUUCGGCCACUGGUUCUUUUGUUCGGUGUCUUAGUGCUCUCUGUAAAUGUUUGAUGAAGCCACAGUUCAUUAUUGACUUUUCUUUGAUCUUCCCACUAGUUAAAAAUAUUUGUGUUUCUGCUUUCCUUGUGACUUUGCGUUUGUGUUGUCUGGCGCUGGAAUUUUCUGAGCUUGUGGGGGAGAGAAGGAGAGGAAUGUGGAUAAUGUAGGCCCAAGUAGGUUGCGGCUGGAUAAAAAGAAAUCCUAGGCUAGCUUUUUAACAGUGGAGUUAUAAUUUAUAUAACGAUUGUGAAUUUAAGCUGAGAUUGGUGGUACGUGCAUGCUCAAAAUCCAGUACUUGGAGGCAGAGGAACAGGGAUCCAGAGUUUGAUGUCAUCUUGGGCCACAUAGUGAGACCCUGUCUCAAAAAAAAAAAAAACCACCCAAAACCC
rnacentral:lncRNA from 1 species